AGCGGAGGAAAAGAAACCAACAGGGAUUGCCCCAGUAAUGGCGAAUGAAGCGGCAAGAGCCCAAAUUUGAAAUCGGGCAACCGAGUUGUAAUUUGGAGACGGGACACUAGAGAGGAGGAAGGCGAUUAAGUGCCUUGGAACAGGCUGCCGUAGAGGGUGAGAGCCCCGUGAAUCGCUGGAGACCGAUCAAUUAGUGCCCGCCGAAGAGUCGAGUUGUUUGGGAAUGCAGCUCUAAGUGGGUGGUAUAUUCCAUCUAAGGCUAAAUAUUAGCGAGAGACCGAUAGCAAACAAGUACAGUGAUGGAAAGAUGAAAAGAACUUUGGAAAGAGAGUGAAAUAGUACGUGAAAUUGUUGAAAGGGAAGGGUAUUUGAUCCGACAUGGUGUUUAGCAGCGGCCCGUUCCUCGUGGAUGGGUGCACCUGGUUUACACUGGGCCAGCAUCGGUUCUGGGAGCCAUAUACGGGGUUCGUGAAUGUGGCCCUUCGAUUCUGUCGGAGGGUGUUAUAGCGCGGACAUCUUGUGGCUAGCCGGGACCGGGGACUGCGGUGACUUGUCACCAAGGAUGCUGGCAGAACGAGCAAAUACCACCCGUCUU
rnacentral:rRNA from 1 species